rnacentral:rRNA from 1 species
AUCGAUCUUGGCUCAAACAACUCUAGCCAUUUCGGCUUUAGUUGGUAUACCAAAAUCAUUUUUUCAGUAUCGAUCUG